AAAGGGUGCGUAGGCGGUCAGGUAAGUCUGAUGUGAAAUCUCUGGGCUUAACCCAGAAAUGGCAUUGGAUACUACUUGGCUUGAGAGUUGGAGGGGGGACUGGAAUUCUUGGUGUAGCAGUGAAAUGCGUAGAUAUCAAGAGGAACACCAGUGGCGAAGGCGAGUCCCUGGACAACUUCUGACGCUGAGGCACGAAAGCUAGGGGAGCAAACAGGAUUAGAUACCCGGGU
rnacentral:rRNA from 1 species